ACAGUGAACUCAUCCUUAUAAUAGUGGGCACAGUGUUUGGAGCCAUUAUCCUGUGUUUAGUGAUAGCAGUCUCUGUUAUUUCAGUCAGAGCAAGGCACAAACAAAAUCCAGAGAAGAGGAGCCUGAUCCAGUCAGGGUAUUCUGACAUGAACAUUGAUGAGAGACCAAGCAUGUUCCCCAGGGUCCAGACCACCUCUGGCCAUGCAAACCCAGGAUAUCAGCCCAACAACCCCUAUGAGAUGCGUUCCAGAAGCAGAGAUCAUUUUCCAGAGAGGGAUUAUGAUGAUUUGUAUGAAAUAUCACGGGAGCCCACAGGCUUUAGGAAACAGAGCAGAUACUGAGUGACCAGAGCAGCAGGAUGGAUGAGCACCACAGCCCUGGGUCAGAGCAAAGAGUUUCACAGCCUUUCACCAAUGCAGUACUUCAGCAGAAGAGAAAACAAGGACCUUAACCCCAGAUUCUCUCAAGAUUUUCUAGAGGAAGAUUCCUGCUUGAAAGAGAUCAUGGAUAACUUUGAAAUAAGGGAAUAAUGUUAGGGAGUAGGGAGAAGAAGAGGACUUCUUUUAAAAGAACUAAUGUGCUCCAAUAAACAUUAGACUUCUUCAAUGAGGCCAGUACAUUGGCAAGAGAGUGAGUGCCCACAAGAUACCAGGAUUUUAACCCUGCUGGUUUUCAGCUCUUCUGGAAGCUCUUCUGGCCCAGGCAAUAUGUGUGAUGCUGAAGAACAUCAGUUCCCAGAGCUUCACUUGGAUUUGUGCUCACUUAAUUUGAACUACAGCUUUGGGCGGAUGAAAACUGUUUUUCAUGAAAAUCGGACCUGUUUCAAUUUACUGUGUUAGAUACAGGUUUUUUUCACUCUUCUCAACCCCUCAAUAUUUCCCAUCUGAAAGCAUUCUGUUCAGAUCUCUGCUGACAUGGGUUGUGUGACACAAUGGCACUUGUCUGACUUUUUCCACAGCCUUCUUUCCCAAUACAAUGGCAAGAUACAAUAUCUCCAAACAAACGCUAUUCUUCUUCAUCUUGCAAAACUGCAUUGAUUUUACAUUUUUAGCUCCUGUGGAAAGUGUUAGCAUUUUUCUUUCUUCUCCAGUCUUUAUGUUUGAAUGAUAAUAAGCUUGGUGUUUGGGUUUUUAAAAAAUUUCUUACAUACAGUCAAUAAAUCAGUCUGUAAAAGAAUUUAUAUUUUACUGUGUUUUACUGAGUGUGCAUUAUCUGUUGACUGCCAUUAACAUUAUAUUUAUAUAAAAUACUUCUUUGCACACAUGUACAUAUAUUUAUAGAUUACAAUCAUUUAUAUAAUCAUUUAAUUCUGUUGUAUUUUGUGUUUUGGUUAUAUGUGCAGAUUGACUUUUCCUAUUAAACAUUAUUUUUUCUCAGUA